rnacentral:rRNA from 1 species
AUGCGAAUGGACGCUGAGGGUAUGGAGUUUCUGCUUGAUUUGGUCGACAGGUUCCCCGUUCGGGAGGAAUUUGCUGAUAGCCUUGAACAAACAGAUCCGGUUCCCCUCCUCUACUUGUUACAGAAUGGGGCUGGAAAUCUUGAGGCUGGUGCUGCAAACGGUGGGUCUAACCUGGCUCAGAUGGCCGGCGAAGAUGACAUGGCUGCGGCGCAAGAAGGUGCCCAGCAGCGCCGAGCUGCAUCUCCGACGAGGUCUGCUCAGUCAACCGACAGUGUGAAUCCAGAGGCCCCCGGCUGGACUAAAAGAAAAAUCUGGGUUCACCUAUGUGGUGCUCGCCGACAAAUCCAGUAA